CUUGGUCAUUUAGAGGAAGUAAAAGUCGUAACAAGGUUUCCGUAGGUGAACCUGCGGAAGGAUCAUUAUUGAAGUGAAGGAGGGUUGUUGCUGGCCUCUAUGGGCACUGUGCACACCUUUCUUGUUCUUCCAUUCCACCUGUGCAUUGGUGUAGGCAUGACCCAAGUGGACAUGUCUAUGAUUUUUACUACUACUACACGCAUUUUUCUGAAUGUCAUUGGUAUAUAUAUAAAAUGUACAACUUUCAACAACGGAUCUCUUGGCUCUCGCAUCGAUGAAGAACGCAGCGAAAUGCGAUAAGUAAUGUGUAUUGCAGAAUUCAGUGAAUCAUCGAAUCUUUGAACGCAUCUUGCGCUCCUUGGUAUUCUGAGGAGCAUGCCUGUUUGAGUGUCAUUAAAUUAUCUCAAAAACACAUUUUUUGAUGUGCUUUUGGACUAUGGGUCUGCUGGCUGAAAUGAGCCAGCUCUCCUGAAAAGAAUUAGUUGGGGUCCUGUGUCAAUGCUGGUCUCCCCUCUCUGGUGUGAUAAAUUGUUCAUGCCAUGGAGGGGUCAGGGUUGACUAGUGGUCUCUGCUCUCUAACUUGCUUGUUGAGCACUUUUUUUUUAUUUGACCUCAAAUCAGGUAGGAAUACCUGCUGAACUUAAGCAUAUCAAUAAGCGGAGG
rnacentral:rRNA from 1 species